AAUAUUGGAUAAUGGGCGAAAGCCUGAUUCAGCCAUGCCGCGUGUGUGAAGAAGGUCUUCGGUUUGUAAAGCUCUUUAUGUUGGGAGGAAGGGCAGUAAGUUAUUACCUUGCUGUUUUGACGUUACGGACAGAAUAAGCACCGGCUAACUUCGUGCCACCAGUCGCGGUAAUACGAAGGGUGCAAGCGUUAAUCGGAAUGACUGGGCGUAAAGCGCGCGUUAGUGGUUUGUUAAGUUUGAAGUGAAAGCCCCGGGUUCAACCGGGGAACUGCUUUCAAAACUGGCUAGCUAGAGGUUGGCAGAGGGUGGUGGAAUUUCCUGUGUAACGGUGAAAUGCGUAGAUAUAGGAAGGAACACCAGUGGCGAAAGCGACCACCUGGGCUAAUACUGACGCUCAUGCACGAAAGCGUGGGGGACAAACA
rnacentral:rRNA from 1 species